UACGUAGGGUCCGAGCGUUGUCCGGAAUUAUUGGGCGUAAAGAGCUCGUAGGCGGUUUGUCGCGUCUGCUGUGAAACCCGAGGCUCAACCUCGGGCCUGCAGUGGGUACGGGCAGACUAGAGUGCGGUAGGGGAGAUUGGAAUUCCUGGUGUAGCGGUGGAAUGCGCAGAUAUCAGGAGGAACACCGAUGGCGAAGGCAGAUCUCUGGGCCGUAACUGACGCUGAGGAGCGAAAGCGUGGGGAG
rnacentral:rRNA from 1 species